AGUGAACGCUGGCGGCGUGCUUAACACAUGCAAGUCGAACGAGAACGGAUUAUAGCUUGCUAUAAUUGUCAGCUAAGUGGCGCACGGGUGAGUAAAGUAUAGGUAAUAUGCCUCUUACUAAGGGAUAACAAAUGGAAACGUUUGCUAAUACCUUAUACUCCUUAUUAACAGAAGUUAAUCAGGGAAAGAUUUAUUGGUAAGAGAUUAGCCUGUAUUGUAUCAGUUAGUUGGUGGGGUAAUGGCUUACCAAGACUAUGACACAUAACUGGUUUGAGAGGAUGAUCAGUCAAACUGGAACUGAGACACGGUCCAGACUCCUACGGGAGGCAGCAGUGGGGAAUAUUGCACAAUGGACGAAAGUCUGAUGCAGCAACGCCGCGUGGAGGAUGACACAUUUCGGUGCGUAAACUCCUUUUAUAUGAGAAGAUAAUGACGGUAUUAUAUGAAUAAGCACCGGCUAACUCCGUGCCAGCCGCCGCAGUAAUAC
rnacentral:rRNA from 1 species